rnacentral:rRNA from 1 species
AUGACUGCUGUGGAGCUCGGGAGGAAAGCAGGGUGGGAAAUGAUGGGGCAUCGGGGAACCAGGGUUGCCUCGGGAUAUGUAUCCAGAACGAAUCAGAGCAGUAUCCGUAUCAAAUACGGCAUAGCCAUGGUUAAGAGAAAAUCCAAGUCUUGUUCUGAAAUCAAGAAGAAGAAACAGCGCAAUGCAUAUGAGCAUGCACAAUCCUUAUCUUGUGAUGAAGAGUUUUGGGAUAAGGAGCAGCAAGAGAUGUAUCUUCAGAUCUAUAAGAAAGCGGAGGUGUUUGCGCAUCGAUCUGUGCACUUGUCUGAUAAUAUUGACACCAAAUAUGAGAAACUUGGUCUCAAGGGAAAUCGAGGUGCUUGCGGUGACAUCCUUCUCAGGCUCACUCGUGCUAUUUACACAGAAGCACCUUUUGAUAUUGCCAAUUUCCUCCUUAGUGAGAUGUGCAUUAUCAUCGAGGAUCCAAACCAUAAGCUGCCUUAUGGGCCUUACAUCUUUUCUCUUCUGCGUCAUUUGAAGAUUAUCAAUGAUGAGAGUAUUGGUGAGACAUGUUCUCUCAGGGCAUACAACCCACUGGCUAUGAAGAAAUCAAAGAAAUCAGUUAUUGUUCAGCUUGAAAAGAAGGUGGAGUCACUUUUGGCUACCUUUAUUAAAAGGAUGGAUGAGUUGGAGCGAAAAGUUGAGGAAUUUGAUAAGAGAAUAAAGGAUGUUGAGACGCUGCUGAAGGGCUCCUCGGAUAUAGUCUUCAGGCGGAGAGGCGGCAAUUGA